rnacentral:lncRNA from 1 species
GCACAAGGAGGGCCCUGUCUCCACGGUGUCCAAGCAGAGGCUGACAUCCUUUCAGGAGGGAGGUGAUUCGGGCGCAGCUGGGCUGGCGGGAGGCAUGGAGGCUGAGUCCCCUUCCUCACUGCUCUCUACUCCCAAGAGAGGGGGAGCCUCCUGUUAAGCAUCCAAGUCCCAAGUCACCGGCCGGCAUCGGCUGCAGCUCUCUGUGUGUGGAGACA